rnacentral:rRNA from 1 species
GACGAACGCUGGCGGCGUGCCUAAUACAUGCAAGUCGAACGCAGUGGGGACGGGUGAGUAACACGUGGGUAACCUCCCAUCAGAGGGGAUAACACUUGGAAACAGGUGCUAAACCGCUACUGAUGGAUGAACCCGCGGUUCAUUAGCUAGUUGGUGAGGUAACGGCUCACCAAGGCCACGAUGCAUCGCCGAAAGGAGAGGGUGAGCGGCCACAGGGGGACUGAGAGACGGCAAAGACUCCUAAGGGAGGCAGCAGUAGGGAAUCUUCGGCAAUGGACGAAAGUCUGACCGAGCAACGCGGCGUGAGUGAAGAAGGUUGUCGGAUCGUAAAACUCUGUUGUUAGAGAAGCGGUAUCUAACCAGAAAGCCACGGCUAACUACGUGCCAGCAGCCGGUAAUUC